UUGCAGCUGCUUCUCUCUCUCUCUCUCUCUCUCUCUCUGUGUGUGUGUGUGUGUGUGUGUGUGAGAGAGAGAGAGAGAGAGAGAGAGAGAAUAUAUAUAUAU